rfam:Tritrichomonas foetus strain K scaffold_234, whole genome shotgun sequence.
AGCGACGUGGAACAAUUGGCAGUUCAUAAGGCUCAUGACCUUGGUGCUAGAGGUUCGAAUCCUCUCGUCGCUC